GGGACACUCAUAGACUCAAAGUUAGAGGAUGAUAUUUACUGUGGACAUGACUAUAAAAAAUUUCCCACAGGUUUUCUAUCUGCUACCUUGUUAGCAAUUAGCCUUUUGAAAACAUUU
rnacentral:snoRNA from 1 species